UGCAGGGAGCUCCUAAAUUGGUGCCACUCCCACCUUGGGAGCCCGUUUUUGCGCUCCCAACUAAGGAGCUUGACGGGAGCCUAAUCCCAUUAAGAUGGGAGCUCGGUCGUUACAAAGAUGGGAGUUUUUGUAUGAUCUUUGCAUAGAAAAACAGGGAUUUAUUACUUGGCUUUAUUAAUUGGUCUUUGAUGAACUCAUAUAUCUAGCCCAAGUCAUGAUAUCUUGAAAAGAAAAUCAUACUAUAUUGUAACACUAGCCCAUUUCUUACACUUAUGGAGGACUUGACCCGUAUUUUUACUUCCAAAAAUGAUUGUACUUUUAAAUUGUAUACUCUAUGCUACAUUAUUUUCAUAAUAUACGUACACGCUCCCAACCUUGGGAGCUUCUACAUUCUCUCGCUUCCACGCUCCCGCCCCCGCUUCCACUCCUGCACCCGCUCCCGCUUCGUGCAACUAAGAUCCGAAUAGGUUUUCAUAAAAAUGCAUUUAUAGCGUUUUUAUGAAAAACUACUCGGAUCAAGUCCUUCCCGGUCAUAUUUUUUGCCGAUUUCUUGCGUGUACUUUUAAAAUCACGUUUUAAACAUAUUGAAUGGUUCAGAUCAUCAAAAUUUGAUCAGGAACAAUGUCAAACUCAUGAGGUCCUUAACAAGUUAAGGGCGCCCUUAGUAGAAGGGAACUGUACAUAUAAUGUUUCAAAUGAGGACCUCUUAAAAUGCGGACUCACCUUUUCCGAUCGAAUUUCGAUGAUCCGAGCCACUCAAUAUGUUCAGAAUGUGAUUUUAAGGGUACGCGCGAGAAAUCGGCAAAAAAAAAUGACCGGGAAGGGCUUGAUUUGAGCAGUUUUUUAUUGAACCAUUCAAUAAAAACCGCAAAAUAUUCCAUUUUUGACAUGCCAAAGAUAAACAAUCAUUGAACAAAUGCUCAAGGGAAUUGAUUUCCGCACUCCCCUUUUUACAAUUCACGCUCUUUUUUUUUUUUUUGUUUGUCUUUAUUCACUUGAAUUUACUAUCUUGCCCUUUAUUCAAUACAUUUCUUCACACAUCCAAGGAUAAUAUUGUAAAUUCAUGUUGAUAAAAACAAAAAAGGGAGUGUGAAUGGCUAAAGGGAGAGUGUGGAAAUCAUUUUCCAUGCUCAAUUUGUGAAUCUCCACAUCAUGAUUUCCAAUAUCGAGAAACAAAGACUAAAUGUUACAAAACAACCCAUGAUUCCUCAAAACCCAUGUGAUGAUCGUCACUUAUAUAUGAUGAAUGUACCCAAAAUCAUGGACAAUCUGUCAAUUGUCAGUACUGGGUAGCUAUUUACAUUUUUCAACAAUUGACUUUGAAGCAUGCCGGAUCAGUUUGAAGCAAUUAAAGUAAGGCUGACAAACGAUUUUGUUGAAAUUUUCAAAAUAGACAUGAUUUCUCUCCCCCAUCAAAUUCUCCCUCACUGGGCAACCACGAUUAUAUCCCUAGAAUUAUGAAAAUAGGUUGUGAAGGAGGGGAGAUUUAGGCAAAACAAUUUUGGCAAUGGUCGAUGCAAUGGUUGAUGAGGUGGUUAUGAUAUGGUGAGUGGGUGGUGAGUGGGUUGUGAUGGCGGUCAUGAGAAGUGGUAGGGUCAGGGUGUGUCAGAGAGAAUCUGUUUUGCCAAGAAGAGAAGGGCUCAGUGGUGGGAUUCAAGAAAGAAGAAAGAGGUGGCGGAGGGCCUGGAAGGUUCAGUGGCGGAGGGCGUCGUGCCGGUCAAUCUUGUAAGGGAGAGAUAAGAAGAAGAAAUGGAUAAGGAUGCGCAUAGUUAUUAAAUGCGAUAGGUGCACUAAGAGCCCAAAGGCCUAUUGGGGCCAGGGCAAGUACGAGCCUUAUUAUUCGAAUGCCAUCUUGUUAUCUAUGUGCGAUAGGCGCACUAAGGGGCCAAAGGCCUAUUGGGGCCAAGGCAAGUACGAGCCUUAUUAUUUGAAGGCCAUCUAGUCAGUCAUAGAUAACAAUAUUAUAUUUGCAAAGAUUCGUAGUUUACUUUAGGAAAACUUAUUAGCACAUGGAAAUUAACUUCCUGUUUAUGAACACCGAUAAUAAAGAGCAAGUAUAUAGUCCAAGGAUACGUAGGCCAUUUAAUAGAACACCUGAUGCACGAUAACAUCUAUACGAGUAAAAGUCACACCCUUGUUACCAAUACAAGUGACAAUUUGCAAAGAAAAAGAAUCCAAAGAAAGCUGACCCAAAAGACAAAAAAGUAAACUUGGUGGUAGAGGCUUUGAUAAAAAAGAUAAAGGAGUAUACCUGAUCCACCAACUGAAAAAUUGCCCUUCAAGCAGGAUUGGCAAUCGGUUGAGUCUUGUGACUACUAGAGACUUCAAUUGAGCUUGUGGAUUGCACCAAAAAAAUUUUAACAUUUUUUUUUGCUUUUAGGGUUAGUAUUUUAACUCUUUCUCUACUUUUUAAGGCUACCUGAAAGAGGAGCGUGCGUAUGGUGGGUUUCUUACACAUUGCCUUGCCCCACCCUCUGUAACGCACACAACCUGAGCCUCUUUGAACCUCGGGUGGUGCAUACCUAGGAAUGCCUUUAACAAUUAUCCAGGUACUGUGGGUGCCUAGCGGCAGUGGGGAGCAGUGAUGUUGGGGAGGGAGUGAUGAAAAUGGUGCUUAGUGGGGAGAGAGCAUAUGAAUAUGUUCUUUGAAGUGGGCGUGCCAUGUUGGUCAGUGUUUUCUAUGCUGAAACAGGAGGUUGAGGAGUUUUCCAGUGGAUUAGGAUGCUUAAGGAGACUGAUGGUACUAUCAGAUAAAAAGAAAAAAGGUAGGGAGAGAGCCCCUACAAUGGGAUAAAUUUUGAGAGGGUAAGUUCCUGUGCGGUAGGCCUAUACAUUUUAUGAAAAAUAAAUGGUGUUUCAGCCAGUCAAUUGGCAAUAUGAAAAA